GCCUUUGUGGUGUAGUGGUCAGCACGCUCGGCGCGUAACCGAGAGGUCCGUGGUUCGAUUCCUGGCGAUGGCG
rnacentral:tRNA from 1 species